rnacentral:rRNA from 1 species
GAUGAACGCUGGCGGCGUGCCUAAUACAUGCGAGUCGAGCGAACAGACGAGGAGCUUGCUCCUCUGACGUUAGCGGCGGACGGGUGAGUAACACGUGGAUAACCUACCUAUAAGACUGGGAUAACUUCGGGAAACCGGAGCUAAUACCGGAUAAUAUAUUGAACCGCAUGGUUCAAUAGUGAAAGACGGUUUUGCUGUCACUUAUAGAUGGAUCCGCGCCGCAUUAGCUAGUUGGUAAGGUAACGGCUUACCAAGGCAACGAUGCGUAGCCGACCUGAGAGGGUGAUCGGCCACACUGGAACUGAGACACGGUCCAGACUCCUACGGGAGGCAGCAGUAGGGAAUCUUCCGCAAUGGGCGAAAGCCUGACGGAGCAACGCCGCGUGAGUGAUGAAGGUCUUCGGAUCGUAAAACUCUGUUAUUAGGGAAGAACAAAUGUGUAAGUAACUAUGCACGUCUUGACGGUGCCUAAUCAGAAAGCCACGGCUAACUACGUG